rnacentral:rRNA from 1 species
GACGAACGCUGGCGGCGUGCUUAACACAUGCAAGUCGAACGGAAAGGCCCCCUUGUGGGGUACUCGAGUGGCGAACGGGUGAGUAACACGUGAGUAACCUACCCUUGACUUUGGGAUAACUUCAGGAAACUGGGGCUAAUACCGGAUAGGAGCUCCUGCUGCAUGGUGGGGGUUGGAAAGUUUCGGCGGUUGGGGAUGGACUCGCGGCUUAUCAGCUUGUUGGUGGGGUAGUGGCUCACCAAGGCUUUGACGGGUAGCCGGCCUGAGAGGGUGACCGGCCACAUUGGGACUGCGAUACGGCCCAGACUCCUACGGGAGGCAGCAGUGGGGAAUAUUGCACAAUGGGCGGAAGCCUGAUGCAGCAACGCCGCGUGCGGGAUGACGGCCUUCGGGUUGUAAACCGCUUUCGCCUGUGACGAAGCGUGAGUGACGGUAAUGGGUAAAGAAGCACCGGCUAACUACGUG